rnacentral:lncRNA from 1 species
CACGUGUCGAUGACUCAGCAACUCAUUCGCCGCCAUUGAGCCCUCGCGGGCCGCGUAAAACCUUUCCUAUCUCUUACGCGGGCCGCGUAAAACGGAGAAUCAGGCCCUAUAAAUAGAGACCUUCGGCCGUUCAUUUGAAAUCGCACCAAAAUUCUUUCUCUCUCGAAUUUCUGAAGAAUUAAAGUAAUUCUCGGGCAUUAUACCCCCUAAUUAGUGAAGCUCUGCCUCGUUAUUAUAACCAGGAAGCCACAAAGGAAAUACCUAAAAUAGCAAUGUAACUUAGUAUGAAGAACAUAAAAGCCAGCUGGAGUCACUGAAGGCUUAGAAAAGUGGCUAUAAAAGUUACCUAAAUAAAAGAAAGUGU